rnacentral:rRNA from 1 species
UACGGGGGGGGCAAGCGUUGUUCGGAAUUACUGGGCGUAAAGGGCUCGUAGGCGGCCAACUAAGUCAGACGUGAAAUCCCUCGGCUUAACCGGGGAACUGCCUCUGAUACUGGAUGGCUUGAGAUUGGGAGAGGGAUGCGGAAUUCCAGGUGUAGCGGUGAAAUGCGUAGAUAUCUGGAGGAACACCGGUAGCGAAGGCGGCAUCCUGGACCAACACUGACGCUGAGGCACGAAAGCGUGGGGAGCAAACAGGG